rnacentral:rRNA from 1 species
ACCUCAAAUCAGGCAGGAGUACCCGCUGAACUUAAGCAUAUCAAUAAGCGGAGGAAAAGAAACCAACAGGGAUUGCCUUAGUAACUGCGAGUGAAGCGGCAAGAGCUCAAAUUUGAAAUCUGGCACCUUCGGUGUCCGAGUUGUAAUUUGUAGAAGCAUCUUUUGGAUUGGUCCUUGCAUAUGUUCCUUGGAACAGGACAUCAUAGAGGGUGAGAAUCCCGUUCAUGGUGGGGAAUCCAAUUCUUUGUAAAGUGCUUUCGAAGAGUCGAGUUGUUUGGGAAUGCAGCUCUAAGUGGGUGGUAAAUUCCAUCUAAAGCUAAAUAUUGGCGAGAGACCGAUAGCGAACAAGUACAGUGAUGGAAAGAUGAAAAGAACUCCGAAAGGAGAGUGAAAAAGGACGUGAAAUUGUUGAAAGGGAAGUGCUUGAGAUCAGUCUUAAGGUUUAGUGAUCAGUCUUCCUUUUGGUCGGUGCACUCACUAUUUCUUAGGCCAACAUCAGUUUUCGCGGCAGGAUAAUGACAUUGGAAUGUGGCUCUUUCGGGAGUGUUAUAGCCUUUGUUGAUACUGCCUGCUUAGACUGAGGACCGCGCUUUUGCUAGGAUGUUGGCAUAAUGAUCUUAAGCAG